UAUAUUAUAUCAGUUCCAAAAGAGCAUCUGAUGCCAUUUGUUACCUUGUUUUCCUUCUACAGUACAGUCUCCUUGCUUCCCUAGUUCUCUCCUUUCUUCACAGUAUCAGUCUAUUCUCCAAAGCGGUUUGCUCCUCUAGUUUUCUCCUUUCCUCGUAUCAGUCUACUUUCCUUUAUUUGCUAUUUUUGUCUGCUGGAAGCCACGAGGACUUCUCUCUUACUGCAGAUGUCAGAGUACUCUGUGCUUCUUCUUUCGCCUUCUGAAAUGCAGGAAAAACUAUGGUGAGGUAUUGUCAAUUUGGAAGCUGAAGAAAUCAUAUAAUUGAGUGCGCUGCACUUACAUUUGAGACUUCUUUCCAUGAAUGAAGGGUUUUUAAUGCUUUCCCAGAUAACAAUGUUUGCCGAGCCAAGGUCACUCCUUCAGACAGAUCUUUAACGUGUCCGCUAACCAAGAUGGCUGCUGCUGCAUUUAGCACCUAACAGUUUCACAAGCAAGAUGGAUUACAAAAUCAUGGCAAGUGAAACAUGGUAAACCUAAGGUGAAAAAUAUGUCCUAGUGUUAUUUCAUUGGUGCAAAAUUUGAUUGACAGAUUUAUUAAGACCGCUCCGAAUUAGAACAUAGAGUGAUUAAUCCU